rnacentral:rRNA from 1 species
ACAGAGGUCCCGAGCGUUGUUCGGAUUCACUGGGCGUAAAGGGUGCGCAGGUGGCAUGGUAAGUUUGAUGUGAAAGCCCCGGGCUUAACCCGGGAAUGGCAUUGAAUACUACUGUGCUGGAGGAUCGGAGGGGGGACUGGAAUUCUUGGUGUAGCGGUGAAAUGCGUAGAUAUCAAGAGGAACACCAGUGGCGAAGGCGAGUCCCUGGACGAUACCUGACACUGAGGCACGAAAGCCAAGGGAGCAAACAGGA